ACUGUGAAGAGUCAUACAAACUGUAGUAGCUAAGGCAAAACAGGACUCGUUGAAACAGUAA
rnacentral:sRNA from 1 species